UACAGAGGUCCCAAGCGUUGUUCGGAUUCAUUGGGCGUAAAGGGUGCGUAGGCGGCGCGGUAAGUCGGGUGUGGAAUCUCGGAGCUUAACUCCGAAACUGCAUUCGAUACUGCCGUGCUUGAGGACUGGAGAGGAGACUGGAAUUUACGGUGUAGCGGUGAAAUGCGUAGAUAUCGUAAGGAAGACCAGUGGCGAAGGCGGGUCUCUGGACAGUUCCUGACGCUGAGGCACGAAGGCCAGGGGAGCAAACGGG
rnacentral:rRNA from 1 species